rnacentral:rRNA from 1 species
GAUUAACGCUGGCGGCGUGCCUAAUACAUGCAAGUCGAACGGAGAGUUUUUGGUAAUUUAUUACUCGAAACUUCUUAGUGGCGAACGGGUGAGUAACGCGUUGGUGACCUGCCCCGAAGAGAGGGACAACCCCGGGAAACUGGAGCUAAUACCUCAUGUGGUCAUAGCAUUUAGAAAACUAUGUCUAAAGGACUUCGGUCCGCUUCGGGAGGAACCUGCGUCCCAUCAGCUAGUUGGUAGGGUAACGGCCUACCAAGGCUAAGACGGGUAGGGGACCUGAGAGGGUGGCCCCCCACAAUGGUACUGAAACACGGACCAUACACCUACGGGUGGCAGCAGUAGGGAAUUUUGCCUAAUGGACGAAAGUCUGAGGCAGCAACGCCGCGUGUGCGAUGAAGGCCUUCGGGUUGUAAAGCACUUUUCUGAGGGAAGAGGAAGG